rnacentral:rRNA from 1 species
ACAGCAGCCGCCACGGUAAGAAAGAGGAUGCAAGCGUUAUCUGGAAUGAUUGGACGUAAAGCAUCUGUAGGUGGUUUUUCAAGUUCGUCGCCAAAUCCCAAGGCUCAACCCUGGACAGGCGGUGGAAACUAGCAAGCUAGAGUACAAUAGGGGCAGAGGGAAUUUCUGGUGGAGCGGUGAAAUGCAUUGAGAUCGGAAAGAACACGAACGGUGAAAGCACUCUGUUGGGCCGACACUGACACUGAGAGAUGAAAACUAGGGGAGAAAAUGGUAUUAGAUACCCGCGUAGUCCCUGUCUCUUAUAC